rnacentral:rRNA from 1 species
GACGAACCGAGCGAACGUUGUUCGGAAUCACUGGGCUUAAAGGGCGCGUAGGCGGGCUGCCGCGUCCGGGGUGAAAUCCCACGGCUCAACCGUGGAACGGCCCCGGGUACGGGCGGCCUCGAGGGGGGUAGGGGCGUGCGGAACUGUGGGUGGAGCGGUGAAAUGCGUUGAGAUCCACAGGAACUCCGGUGGCGAAGGUGGCACGCUGGACCCUCUCUGACGCUGAGGCGCGAAAGCCAGGGGAGCGAACGGG